UAUGUACUCCUUUCGUCCGAAAAUACUUGUCAUCAAGAAAAAAGGAUGUAUUUAGAUGUAUUUUAGUUUUAAAUACAUUUUUUUCAUCCAGAUGACAAGUAUUUUCGGACGAAGGAAGUAGUUA
rfam:Triticum aestivum genome assembly, contig: Triticum_aestivum_CS42_TGACv1_scaffold_579284_7BL